rnacentral:rRNA from 1 species
UUCCGGUUGAUCCUGCCGGACCUGACUGCUAUCGGAUUGAUACUAAGCCAUGCGAGUCAUUGUAGUAAUACAAGGCAGACGGCUCAGUAACGCGUAGUCAACCUACCCUAUGGACGGGAAUAACCUCGGGAAACUGAGAAUAAUGCCCGAUAGAACAUUAUGCCUGGAAUGGUUUAUGUUCCAAAUGAUUUAUCGCCGUAGGAUGGGACUGCGGCCUAUCAGUUUGUUGGUGAGGUAAUGGCCCACCAAGACUAUUACAGGUACGGGCUCUGAGAGGAGUGGCCCGGAGAUGGGUACUGAGACGCGGACCCAGGCCCUAUGGGGCGCAGCAGGCGAGAAAACUUUGCAAUGUGCGAAAGCACGACAAGGUUAAUCCGAGUGGUUUCUGCUAAAGGAACCUUUUGUCAGUCCUAGAAACACUGAUGAAUAAGGGGUGGGCAAGUUCUGGUGUCAGCCGCCGCGGUAAAACCAGCACCUCAAGUUGUCAGGAUGAUUAUUGGGCCUAAAGCAUCCGUAGCCGGCUCUGUUAGUUUUCGGUUAAAUCUGUGCGCUUAACGUACAGGCUGCCGGGAAUACUGCAGAGCUAGGGAGUGGGAGAGGUAGACGGUACUCGGUAGGAAGGGGUAAAAUCCUUUGAUCUAUUGAUGACCACCUGUGGCGAAGGCGGUCUACCAGAACACGUCCGACGGUGAGGGAUGAAAGCUGGGGGAGCAAACCGGAUUAGAUACCCGGGUAGUCCCAGCUGUAAACUAUGCAACUCAGUGAUGCAUUGGCUUGUGGCCAAUGCAGUGCUGCAGGGAAAGCCGUUAAGUUUGCCGCCUGGGAAGUACGUACGCAAGUAUGAAACUUAAAGGAAUUGGCGGGGGAGCACCACAAGGGGUGAAGCCUGCGGUUCAAUUGGAGUCAACGCCGGA